UGAACAUGAUAUUUCUACUAACUGAAAGCAAUUUAACAGACUUUUCUAAUUCUCCAUAGAAAUACUUCUCUUUGGAGAUACUUUUCAUACAUCUCUGUAAGCAAUGAUAAUUGAUCAUUAAACAAAUAAUGAGAAAGGUCGAAGUUUGAUUUGUGUCACAUCAAUUUUGUAACCUAUUUCUUUCUCAUAUGAUAGUUUUUGACAGAUAGAGUGGACAAAUUCCAGUUUUAAAACACGAAGAUCAUUAUUUUAGAAGCAUAUAAAGUUCACGCAUAAUUUAUUUGGAUACUACAAUAUAUUAUAAUAUAAAUUAAACCUAACCUAAACCAAAAUCCAUUCUGUUAAUCGAACUCCUAACGAUGCAUAUAAAUCAUAAAACAUGUAUGUAUGUAUGUCUAAGUUAAUUGUAUAAUAUACGCCAACUUUAAAAGUAAUUUAAAAGUAAAAAGUAAGGCACGUAUAACCUUUAAAAUAAUGAUCUCCUUAGAAUUAGUAUUCAUGAAUUCUUCUUGUUAAAGACUGUCAUGUGUUAUAACAAAAAUUAACAGGUUUAGAGUGCCGAAUGAAGACCAGCCACGGAAACAUGACAAUAACUUGUAUUGUAUAUAAAACAUGACUUUGUUUUAAGAAGGUUAUUAAGACUGUUUAUGGUAUCUACGUGAGAAGUGUAGUCAUCACUGGUAGCGUGGCCGAGCGGUCUAAGGCGCUGGUUUAAGGCACCAGUCUCUUCGGAGGCGUGGGUUCGAAUCCCACCGCUGCCAUUUAUUUUUGCCUUCUUUUGUAAUACUUUAACAUGUGAUAAGUUCGUGGAUUGUAUUUCGACCAACCUUCAUAAAUCAACAACGCGUAAUUAAUGAAGAAGACGGUGGUAGCAACUCCCUUGAAGGUCCAAUGGGUUGCGUCGGCACGCGGCGCCGUGGUUCACACCUAUUAGGAAAAUAGAAAGAUGGCCGCUUAUCUUUUAUGUCACACGGAGUCUAUUUUACCGAUGUGACUAGGAUGUGACAAUGCUUCUGAAUAAUAUGAUAGCCUAAUAAAUGUUUCAUUCUGAAGAUGCCACCACAAGCCACACCCAAUGAAUAGAUACAAAAGCUUCAAUACCACCAUUUGUUGUAUUUAUGCGCGUAGAAUAUAAUUUAACAGAAGUUGUAUACAUAAACCCUCUAUACUUUUCCUAAAAAU